UGAAUUCGAGUGGAUCAAGCUAUUGACAAAAGUUUUUCAUAACACUCUUUAGAAUAUUAAUUAAAGUUUUUAUUAAAUAUAUAAGAAAUAUUUUUAAAAUUGAUAACAUGGAAAUAUCAACGGAACCAGCAUUUCUUGAAGUCGAGCUUCCACAGACUCUACUUGAAUCUCCAUCAGUUUCUACAUUCUUGCCAGACGAAGAGGCCUCGAUAUUUCCGUUGCUAUCAAGUAACGGCGGACUGGAGCCUGUUUUAUUAUCACACCCAUUAAGCCCAACCAUUGUUGCUAGCGAUAUUACCUCAUCUAAUAUAAGUAAUACAGACUGCAAGGCGGAAACGAGCUCUUCUGGAAGUAGCACCGGAAUCGCAAUGGAUGCCAUGGAAACUGCGUCAAGUAGCCUUUUCAAUAAAGUGAACUACCAUCAUUUACAAAACAACAACGUUACGAGUCAAGAUUCCAGUAGUCACUGUUUAAAAGGAAAUAGAAGAAAAUCUAAAGAAACACCUUCUUUUGUGUCUUGGAAUUGGCCACUUAUUCGAAAAUGUACAUUUUUCGUUUUCCUAUCUGGAAUCUUAGGAAUAUGCGCUAUUGUUGUUGCUCAAAUUGUCAGCAUGCCAAAAUUUUGCAAUCCCAAGACUGCUUGGUAUCGAGGAAGCGUAUUUUAUGAAAUUGAUCCGGCAUCUUUCAACGACUCUAAUAAUGAUGGAAUUGGCGAUAUUAGUGGAAUAAUAUAUGGAAUAGAGUAUUUAGCAAACUUAGGUAUAUCUGGAGUACGACUCAACUCUAUUUUUCCUUCCGGUCCUCAUUACGAUCGAGAUAUUAAUACAAUUAGACCUGAACUGGGAAACCUGAGUACUCUUCAUAAAUUAGCCAAUGUCUUACAUGCACACAAUAUGAGUCUUUUAUUAGAUUUGCCAUUGCAGCACGUGAUUGCUGGGAGAAAGGAUGAUGAAGUUCUUGAUGUUAUUUCAAAAUCUUUACAUCAUUGGAUUGACAUCGGGGUGAACGGAUUUUAUUUAAAGGGACUGGAAUCAUUUAUAAAUAAUGAAACCCUAUUAACAUGUUUAUCAUCUUGGAAAGGUGUAAUUGGCAAAGAUAAAGUACUUAUAGUAGGGGAAUCGUUUUUAAAAUACAAGUCCAAAUCGGAACUUUCUUUAUUGUUUGAGCAUAUCGAUUUGGUUGACUUUACUUUAAGUAUUGAAAAUAAUUCACAAAAAAUGAAAGAACGAAUUGAACUUAUUUUAAACGAUAUGCCAGUUGCCGAAGACAGAACAUGGAUUCAUUGGUCUAUUGGAAGAAAUACCUUGGAUACACCCGACAGUAGUCAAUCAACUAUUUCUAAGAUUUUCGCUGCAACAAUAAUGCAGCUUAUUUUGCCGGGGACACCAAAUAUUAUGCAUGAAAAUGCGAUAGCCACUACAAAAAUUAAAAUUAAGAACAAUUCGGUACAACCUAUAGAGCUUUGGGCUGAAAAAUUAUAUAAUAUAACGGAUCAAGAGAUGAACGUAAAAUCGUUGGACAAGCUAAUAUUGGUACAGAGGAUGAUAUCCUUACGCGAGCAUUCUCCAGCAAUGUACAAAAAUGUUGUAUGCAAGUUCACUGAGAAUAAGUCAAAUACCCAAAUACUAGCACAUAGCAAUGCAGACGUUCUAAUAAUAGUCCGAUAUUACCCCCGAAAAAAUUCAUUUGUAUCAAUAACAAAUUUUGGGAGUACUAAAGUUGUUUUAGAUUUAACAUCAAUGUUUUAUAGUGGCAAUGAAAUGCUUAAUAUAGAAUCAAAUGAGAAAAUAUAUUUUAAACAAUUUAAAGUUGAUGCAUUUAACACGAUUGUAGUCAAAUUGGAUAAAUAAAAGUUGUCAGCAGAAAUUAUACAAUAA